rnacentral:rRNA from 1 species
AUUGAACGCUGGCGGAAUGCUUUACACAUGCAAGUCGAACGGCAGCACGGGAGCUUGCUCCUGGUGGCGAGUGGCGAACGGGUGAGUAACAUAUCGGAACGUAUCCAAUAAUGGGGGAUAACUAAGCGAAAGCUUGGCUAAUACCGCAUACGCCCUGAGGGGGAAAGCUAGGGAUCUUCGGACCUGGCGUUAAUGGAGCGGCCGAUAUCUGAUUAGCUAGUUGGUGAGGUAAAAGCUCACCAAGGCGACGAUCAGUAGCUGGUCUGAGAGGACGACCAGCCACACUGGAACUGGGACACGGUCCAGACUCCUACGGGAGGCAGCAGUGGGGAAUUUUGGACAAUGGGCGCAAGCCUGAUCCAGCCAUUCCGCGUGAGUGAAGAAGGCCUUCGGGUUGUAAAGCUCUUUCGCAAGGGAAGAAAGAUUACGCUCUAACAUAGCGUGAUUAUGACGGUACCUUGAUAAGAAGCACCGGCUAACUACGAGCCAGCCGCCGCGGUAACAC